rnacentral:rRNA from 1 species
UGCCAGCCGCCGCGGUAAUACGGAGGGUCCAAGCGUUGUCCGGAUUUAUUGGGUUUAAAGGGUGCGUAGGCGGAACUUUAAGUCAGUGGUGAAAUCUUGCCGCUUAACGGUAAAAUUGCCAUUGAAACUGAAGUUCUUGAAUGUAGUUGAGGUAGGCGGAAUGUGUUGUGUAGCGGUGAAAUGCAUAGAUAUGACACAGAGCGCCAAUUGCGAAGGCAGCUUACUAAGCUAUAACUGACGCUGAGGCACGAAAGCGUGGGGAGCGAACAGGAUUAGAUA